CUCUUACUGUCAGGAAGUUCUUCCUAAUGUUUAGGUGGAAUCUUCUUUCUUGUAGUUUGGAUCCAUUGCUCCGUGUCCGCUUCUCUGGAGCAGCAGAAAACAACCUUUCUCCCUCCUCUAUGUGACAUCCUUUUAUAUAUUUGAACAUGGCUAUCAUAUCACCCCUUAACCUCCUCUUCUCCAGGCUAAACAUGCCCAGCUCCCUUAGCCGUUCCUCCUAAGGCAUCGUUUCCAGGCCUUUGACCAUUUUGGUUGCCCUCCUCUGGACACGUUCCAGUUUGUCAGUGUCCUUCUUGAACUGUGGUGCCCAGAACUGGACACAGUAUUCCAGGUGAGGUCUGACCAGAGCAGAAUACAGUGGCACUAUUACUUCCCUUGAUCUAGAUGCUAUACUCCUAUUGAUGCAGCCCAGAAUUGCAUUGGCUUUUUUAGCUGCCGCGUCACACUGUUGGCUCAUGUCAAGUUUGUGGUCAACCAAGACUCCUAGAUCCUUUUCACAUGUACUGCUCUCAAGCCAGUUGUCACCCAUCUUGUAUUUGUGCCUCUCAUUUUUUUUGCCCAAGUGCAAUACUUUACAUUUCUCCCUGUUAAAAUUCAUCUUGUUUGUUUUGGCCCUCUAAUCUGUCAAGGUCGUUUUGAAGUGUGAUCCUGUCCUCUGGGGUGUUAGCCACCCCUCCCAGUUUGGUGUCAUCUGCAAAUUUGAUCAGGAUGCCCUUGAGUCCAUCAUCCAAGUCGUUGAUAAAGAUGUUGAAUAAGACCGGGCCCAAGACAGAACCCUGUGGCACCCCACUAGUCACUCUUCUCCAGGAUGAAGAGGAACCAUUGAUGAGCACCCUUUGGGUUCGGUCAGUCAGCCAGUUACAAAUCCACUGAGUGGUAGCAUAGUCAAGACCGCAUUUUACCAGCUUCUUUACAAGAAUAUCAUGGGGCACCUUGUCAAAUGCCUUGCUGAAAUCAAGGUAGGCUACAUCCACUGCGUUCCCUUCAUCUACCAGGCUUGUAAUUCUGUCAAAAAAUGAGAUCAGGUUAGUCUGACAUGACUUAUUUUUCAGAAAUCCAUGCUGACUAUUGGUGAUCACAGCAUUCCUUUCUAGGUGCUCACAGACUGUUUGCUUAAUGAUCUUUCCCCCUCCUCCUCCCCGUUUACAUAAAGGUUUAAAUAAGAUUUUAUAAAAUUAUUUCUGAAAGAUUCAUUUCCAACAU